GACGAACGCUGGCGGCGUGCCUAAUACAUGCAAGUAGAACGCACAGUUUAUACCGUAUCUUGCUACACCAUAGACUGUGAGUUGCGAACGGGUGAGUAACGCGUAGGUAACCUGCCUGGUAGCGGGGGAUAACUAUUUGAAACGAUAGCUAAUACCGCAUAAUAUUAAUUAUUGCAGGAUAAUUAAUUGAAAGGUGCAAUUGCACCACUACCAGAUGUACCUGCGUUGUAUUAGCUAGUAGGGGAGGUAACGGCUCACCUAGGCGAUGAUACAUAGCCGACCUGAGAGGGUGAUCGGCCACACUGGGACUGAGACACGGCCCAGACUCCUACGGGAGGCAGCAGUAGGGAAUCUUCGGCAAUGGACGAAAGUCUGACCGAGCAACGCCGCGUGAGUGAAGAAGGGUUUCGGAUCGUAAAGCUCUGUUGUAAGAGAAGAACGGGGGUGAGAGUGGAAAGUUCACAAUGUGACGGUAUCUUAACAGAAAGGGACGGCUAACUACGUG
rnacentral:rRNA from 1 species